rnacentral:misc_RNA from 1 species
AAGUCGUAACAAGGUCUCCGUAGGUGAACCUGCGGAGGGAUCAUUAACAUCCACACCCCUCACAGAGGGCUCCCUCGGGAGCUCUCUUGAGACACCCCUCUGAACCCUUCUCCUACCACUAUACCCUACCCUGGAGGUGCGCGUCGGCCUGCUCGCAGCGCCGGCGCCUCCUCUCCCCUUUUUCUUACACACCUGACUUCUGACCCAUCCUCCCCCGCAAGCUUCGUCGUCUGCACCAGUGGCAGCGGCGGAUCUGAUCUGAGGGUCGCGCUUCUCGAAGCCCGGCUCUCGGUGAGUGAUACUUGAAUCAACAUUGAUUUCAUCACUCCCCACCCUGGAUCUCUUGGCUCUC